rnacentral:rRNA from 1 species
UACGGAGGGGGCUAGCGUUGUUCGGAAUUACUGGGCGUAAAGCGCACGUAGGCGGUCUUUUAAGUCGGGGGUGAAAUCCUGGAGCUCAACUCCAGAACUGCCUUCGAUACUGGAAGACUUGAGUCCGGGAGAGGUGAGUGGAACUGCGAGUGUAGAGGUGAAAUUCGUAGAUAUUCGCAAGAACACCAGUGGCGAAGGCGGCUCACUGGCCCGGUACUGACGCUGAGGUGCGGAAAGCGUGGGGAGCAAACAGG